rnacentral:rRNA from 1 species
CGGGGAUAAGACAUCGGAAGAGCUGCUUGCAGAAUGGAAGAAGUCAUAUUCUAGUGGCGGACGGGUGAGUAACGCGUGGGCAACCUGCCUUAUACAGGGGGAUAACAGCUGGAAACAGCUGCUAAUACCGCAUAAGCGCACAGCGGCGCAUGACGCAGUGUGAAAAACUGAGGUGGUAUAAGAUGGGCCCGCGUCUGAUUAGCUGGUUGGGAGGGUAACGGCCUACCAAGGCGACGAUCAGUAGCCGGCCUGAGAGGGCGGACGGCCACAUUGGGACUGAGACACGGCCCAGACUCCUACGGGAGGCAGCAGUGGGGAAUAUUGCACAAUGGGGGGAACCCUGAUGCAGCGACGCCGCGUGAGUGAAGAAGUAUUUCGGUACGUAAAGCUCUAUCAGCAGGGAAGAAAAAAGGACGGUACCUGAGUAAGAAGCCCCGGCUAACUACGUGCCAGCAGCCGCGGUAAUACGUAGGGGGCAAGCGUUAUCCGGAAUUACUGGGUGUAAAGGGAGCGUAGACGGCAAUGCAAGUCCGGAGUGGAAUGCGGCAGCUCAACUGCCGAACUGCUCUGGAAACUGUAUGGCUUGAGUGCAGGAGGGGUAAGCGGAGUUCCUGGUGUAGCGGUGAAAUGC